UAAAAUCAUAGUAUCACACUAUCACUACCGUUGCUGGCUUUCUUCUUUAUGACAUUUCCCUCCGCUUCUUCCUUAUGACAUUUCUUUCCCUCCGCUUCUUCUUCCAAUGACAUUUCCCUCCGCAAAUUCAAAGCCCUAGCUAGUCUUCCUCACCUCCUUUUGCCGCUGCCGUCCGCCACCCCCACCUCUGUAAGCACUCUCUCUCUCUCUCUCUCUCUCUAAUUGUAUAUUGCAAUUCCGUCAGCUUUCGCCGUCGCCGCCGCGCGCCGCUGUUGCUGCUCUGCUUCGAGAUUGAGUAUACCACUCCGCGCUUGACUCGUGAGAAGUAUAGAAAGAAGUCAAGAACAAGAAAAGAGAUCGAAAGAUUGUGAGCAACAAAGAGUGCAGAUGAACAUCCCGUGCAUCAUUGACAUUGCAAGCAUCGGCUUCAGAUGUAGAUGUUAGAGGAGAUAGUAUCUGAUGCAGCCUCAGGAGGAGUGCGAGCAUAGACAGCAGCAGCUUCAGAGGAGCGCGAGCAUACACUCCAGCAGCUUCGGGAGGAGCGUGAGCAGAGAGUCCGAUUGGAGGAGUCACUUCGGGUAACUAAUGAGUUGCUCCAGCAGUUCUUGAGGUCCCAGCGGUCAAGGAGUAGUGGCUCAGGAGGUUCUUAGUUUUCAUGUAGUAUAUUUAGUACAUUUUGAUAUAUUAUUAUGAUAUUUUGCUUAUAUGUAGUUUAUUUAGUACUACUUUUUAUGUUAUUAUGAUAUUUACACGUAAACAUAUUGUUGGAUAUUGAACAAUAUCGAAUGAAUUUUAAAUUAUGAUUGGAUU